rnacentral:rRNA from 1 species
UACAGAGGCCUCGAGCGUUAGGCGGAAUCACUGGGCUUAAAGCGUGGGUAGGUGGGUCCGUAAGUACCUUGUGAAAUCCCAUGGCUCAACCAUGGAACUGCUGGGUAUACUGCGGGUCUUGAGCUAUCUAGAGGUUACUGGAACAAACGGUGGAGCGGUGAAAUGCGUAGAUAUCGUUUGGAACGCCAAUGGUGAAAACAGGUAACUGGGGAUAUGCUGACACUGAGACACGAAAGCCAGGGGAGCAAACGGG